CCUGUCCCUGUGCUGGGUCCGAGCUGGCGGCCGGGCUGGGCGGAGCAGCAGCUGCAGCCCCGGGUGUCCCUGGAGCGCUGGGAGCUGCCGCUGGCCCCAGGCGCUGUCCCCUGAGGAGCUGCUGAAGGACGCUGCCAAGGAGAGCUCGAGGACAGGCGGAGUUUGACAGGAGCCAGCAGGGAGAAGCUGAAGGCCACCAGAGAGAGCAGUGAACAGGGAGCUGCUGCUGCCAGCCCAGAGCCUGGAUGUCCCAUCUGCUGUCCCUGUCCAGGAGAGCUGCUCUGCACGGGAGGGAACAAGGACCAAAUGAAAGGCUUUGAAGACUGGGCAGCUGGAAUCCUUCUGCUUAGAAUUCUGUUUAAAGAUACAUGGACUUAUGAGAUUUAUUGCUGUAUAUUUGUAUUGAUGAAGAUGG